CGAAGCACUUGUGCUUAGUGGCGAAUGGGUGAGUAACACGUACUUAAUCUGCCCUCAAGUCUGGGACAACAGUUGGAAACGACUGCUAAUACCGGAUAUGUAUAACUUCCGCAUGGAGGUUAUAUGAAAGAAGCGUUUGCUUCGCUUAAGGAUGAGAGUGCGCUGUAUUAGUUAGUUGGUAGGGUAAAGGCCUACCAAGACGUUGAUACAUAGCGGGGUCGAGAGGCUGAACCGCCACACUGGGACUGAGAUACGGCCCAGACUCCUACGGGAGGCAGCAGUAGGGAAUUUUCCACAAUGAACGAAAGUUUGAUGGAGCGACACAGCGUGCAGGAUGAAGGUCUUCGGAUUGUAAACUGCUGUUAUAAGAGAAGAACAAGUUUGAUAGGAAAUGAUCAAACCCUGACGGUACCUUAUCAGAAAGCACCGGCAAACUAUGUGCCAGCAGCCGCGGUAAUACAUAGGGUGCAAGCGUUAUCCGG
rnacentral:rRNA from 1 species